rnacentral:tRNA from 1 species
GGAAAUGUGUCUGAGUGGUUUAAAGAGCGAUAUUUGAGCUAUUGUGAGUAUUCAUCGUAGGUUCGAAUCCUGCCAUUUCCG